UGUCUGUCUGCACCGCCUGACAUCUCAUCUGUCCUGCUCGCCACACCUGUCUCCUGUCUGUCCCUUUUUCCCACAUUCAUUGGACAAACUAUGUUAAACAUCUGGGCCCAAGAUUAUGGACACGAUGAUUACUGUGGACACUGUGUGGAGACUGGAUUGGAUGCGAGGAAGAGCGGAAGCAUGGGGCAGAUCAGGAGGCUAUCCCAGUAACCCCAUGAUGGCUUAGACCAGCGCAGAGGCAUGGACGAUAAGUGGACAGAUUUAGAAAUGUUUGGACGUGUCUUAACUGUAUAUGAGGACUGGGAGGUGGAGGAGAAGGGGAUAUUAAGGUGCUUGUGAGGCCUUUUGCUAUGAUGGUCUAUGCUGGCGGAGGGAUAGUGGAUAUUCUGACUUUGAGGAGCCCGUGCAGUAACCAAGGUCUGCAAGCAGUUUUGAGAAUUUGGGCGAAGGUGGUAAAUAAAGCCAUAAGCAUGGACAAGAAAGCUGGAGGCAAGAGAAUAUAGAAUGAAGAGAACCUAGAAUUGAGUCCUCAAAACUCGUACAAUUAAAAUUCAGGAAGAAGGGCUUCCCUGGUGGUGCAGUGUUUGAGAGUCCGCCUGCUGAUGCAGGGGACACGGGUUCGUGCCCCGGUCCGGGAGGAUCCCACAUGCCGCGGAGCGGCUGGGCCCGUGAGCCAUGGCCGCUGGGCCUGCGCGUCUGGAGCCUGUGCUCCGCACGGGAGAGGCCACAACAGUGAGAGGCCCGCGUACCGCCAAAAAAAAAAAAAAAAAGUUCAGGAAGAAGACAAAGAAUGGCCAGAAAUGUAGGAGGAAACCCCAGGUGGGAGAAACCAUAAGAAUUUUUUAUUUAUUUAUUAUUUAUUUUAAAUUUUUUAAAAUAUUUUAUUUAUUUAUUCAUUUUUGGCUGCCUCGGGUCUUAGUUGCUGCACGCAGGCUCUUCGUUGCAGUGCACAGGCUUCUCUCUAGUUGUGGCGUGUGGGUUUUCUCUCUCUACUUGUGGCCUGUGGGCUCCAGAGUCCGUGGGCUUUGUAGUUUGGGGCGCACAGGCUCUCUAGCUGAGGUGCACGAGCUCAGUAGUUGACACGUGUGGGCUUAGUUGCUCUGUGGCAUGUGGGAUCUUAGUUCCCUGACCAGGGAUUGAACCCACAUCCCCUGCACUGGAAGGCGGAUUCUUUACCACUGGACCACCAGGGAAGUCCUGAGAAGAGAGUGUUUCUGAAGAAAGAAGUAGGCAGUGGUAUCAGAUGCUCUAAAGAAAUGUAGAUGUAGACAAGGCUGGAGAAGUCUGGUUGUUGCUUUAUACCAUCAGCUGGAUGGGUAAAGUAUAUCCUCAGUUAACUUCACCAUUAGUGGGAUGGAGUCCAGAAAAGGGCUUUUGCAAAGUGAGAGGACUAGAGUAGGUUUGUCUAUCCCUCUCUCCUUCCUAGUAUAUUUCUCUUA